rnacentral:rRNA from 1 species
AACGAACGCUGGCGGCAUGCCUAACACACGCAAGUCGAACGAAGCCUUCGGGCUUAGUGGCGCACGGGUGCGUAACGCGUGGGAAUCUGCCCUUGGGUUCGGAAUAACAGUUAGAAAUGACUGCUAAUACCGGAUGAUGUCUUCGGACCAAAGAUUUAUCGCCCAAGGAUGAGCCCGCGUAGGAUUAGGUAGUUGGUGGGGUAAUGGCCCACCAAGCCGACGAUCCUUAGCUGGUCUGAGAGGAUGAUCAGCCGCACUGGGACUGAGACACGGCCCAGACUCCUACGGGAGGCAGCAGUGGGGAAUAUUGGACAAUGGGCGAAAGCCUGAUCCAGCAAUGCCGCGUGAGUGAUGAAGGCCUUAGGGUUGUAAAGCUCUUUUACCAGGGAUGAUAAUGACAGUACCUGGAGAAUAAGCUCCGGCUAACUCCGUGCCAGCCGCCGCAGUAA